UACGUAGGGUGCAAGCGUUAAUCGGAAUUACUGGGCGUAAAGCGUGCGCAGGCGGUAAUGUAAGACAGUUGUGAAAUCCCCGGGCUCAACCUGGGCACUGCAUCUGUGACUGCAUUGCUGGAGUACGGUAGAGGGGGAUGGAAUUCCGCGUGUAGCAGUGAAAUGCGUAGAUAUGCGGAGGAACACCGAUGGCGAAGGCAAUCCCCUGGACCUGUACUGACGCUCAUGCACGAAAGCGUGGGGAGCAAACAGG
rnacentral:rRNA from 1 species